UAUAUUUGCGCCGCUGAUAUCAGCAUACAUAAUAAUCAUUUAAAUAAUAUUGGAAUG
rnacentral:ncRNA from 1 species